UUCAGUUUUCAAUUACACUGAUGAUAAGGAACCAGUGACUUACAUGAAAUUUCCUGCUGUUGGAAGCAUUGCAGAACCAGUGCCUGAUCCACUUUUCAAACCGUUUAUCUGCAAUGUGUCUGCUCCAAAAUCCUGUGAUGUCCAUCGUGGUGAAGGUUUUUCUGGCAAUGCCUCAGACAUUUCCAAUGCAAAAGGGUUAAUGGAGUUGCAACAGAGGCAUGAAGAAGAAAAUGCAUCGGAUGAACUUUGAUCGUUGUAGUCUUUGCAUAGAUGAGAUAUGGUAGAGAAGAAGAUUCACGAUGAUGAUGAUGAUGAUAUUUAGUUAGCUUUGGUUUCUAAGUUUUUGUCAUAGUUUGUCUCAGGUUUUCUGGUUUAGAUCAGUGUUAUUUUGAUGUCAUUUGAAGUAUACGGGUCUCUAUACUUUAUGCUUUCGAUUUAUGAAUGGUUAAAAUAUUGGGUAUUGUAGUUAA